CUCUGAUGGCGAGUGGCGAACGGGUGAGUAAUAUAUCGGAACGUACCUAGUAAUGGGGAACAACCAGCCGAAAGGUUGGCUAAUACCGCAUACGACCUACGGGUGAAAGCAGGGGAUCUUCGGACCUUGCGUUAUUAGAGCGGCCGAUACCUGAUUAGCUUGUUGGUGGGGUAAAAGCCCACCAAGGCGACGAUCAGUAGCUGGUCUGAGAGGAUGAUCAGCCACACUGGGACUGAGAUACGGCCCAGACUCC
rnacentral:rRNA from 1 species